rnacentral:rRNA from 1 species
UACGUAGGGCGCAAGCGUUGUCCGGAAUUGAUUGGGCGUAAAGAGCUCGUAGGCGGCCUGUUGCGUCCGCUGUGAAAUCCCGGGGCUCAACCCCGGGCCUGCAGUGGAUACGGGCUGGCUAGAGGCAGGCAGGGGAGAACGGGAAUUCCUGGUGUAGCGGUGGAAAUGACGCAGAUAUCAGGAGGAACACCGGUGGCGAAGGCGGUUCUCUGGGCCUGUACUGACGCUGAGGAGCGAAAGCGUGGGGGAGCGAACAGG